GUAAUUAUUAUGUUGUUACUGACGCUGACUGCUAUUGCAAAAGGUUUAUGGGUUGUCCUUGUGGUGGGCGAGCCCACCAAGGAAACAAGAAGUACGCAAAAGACACGGGUGAAUAAUUCAGCAAGGCCGGCCCAACCGCGCACGCCGCGAGGCAGCGCACAGCUGGGGGUAUCCAGUCUGCCUUCUUAUUGUGUAAUGAUCCCUCCGCAGGUUCACCUACGGAGA
rnacentral:misc_RNA from 1 species